UACGUAGGUGGCAAGCGUUGUCCGGAUUUAUUGGGUUUAAAGGGUGCGUAGGUGGCCCUGUAAGUCAGUGGUGAAAUAUCUCAGCUUAACUGAGAGGGUGCCAUUGAUACUGCAGGGCUUGAGUACAGAUGAGGUAGGCGGAAUUGACGGUGUAGCGGUGAAAUGCAUAGAUAUCGUCCAGAACACCGAUAGCGAAGGCAGCUUACUAAGGAGUAACUGACGCUGAGGCACGAAAGUGUGGGGAUCAAACAGG
rnacentral:rRNA from 1 species